ACAGCAGCAGCCGCGGGAAUACAGAGGGUGCAAGCGUUAAUCGGAAUGACUGGGCGUAAAGGGCGCGUAGGCGGUUACUUAAGUGAGAUGUGAAAGCCCUGGGCUUAACCUAGGAAUGGCAUCUUAUACUGGGUAACUAGAGUGGGGUAGAGGGAAGUGGAAUUUCCGGUGUAGCGGUGAAAUGCGUAGAUAUCGGAAGGAACACCAGUGGCGAAGGCGGCUUUCUGGACCCUAACUGACGCUGAGGCGCGAAAGCGUGGGGAGCAAACAGGAUUAGAUACCCCCGUAGUCCCUGUCUCUUAUAC
rnacentral:rRNA from 1 species